GGACACUGCACACUGAUGAGCCGCAACAGUGCAAAUGAGGAGACCCAUCUCUGAAUUUCAUCUCCUUAGUGACCCCCCUCCCAGAAAUCAACCCGCAAGAGAACGCCCAAAGCUCUCUAUCUCUGUUCAUCACCGGAAUUCACCACCGGUCGACCACCCCAUAAACACGACCUCUGACCUGACCCAUCGCCUGAACCCCACAGCUCCAACUCUGCCGGAAACCAGACGCACGACGCCACAGCCGUCAUCGCCGCCGGCAGCACUCCCACUAAAAUCGACCACCAGCUGCCAGAUACACACGCACACAGGUUCGAGGUGUGUCGCGGUCGAGUUUGAGUUUUGUCGAAUUUCAGUUUGUUGGUUUUUUGGUGGCUGAUUUUCCGUUGAGGUCCGAUGGACAUUCGAUUGGAGACCUAUCAGUAAUCAAAUUCUUAAAAGCAUUUUGCUGCUCUAAGGUUCACUUUUACUCUCAUUGUAGUUCUUUUGUUUCCUUCAAUAAUCAUAAAUGGAUAAGUUCUGUUACUGAUAUUUUAGUGGUUACGUUUAGUGCUACUGAAUAAUGUCAUCUAUGUUGCUUCUAUGUUAACUUCUAUGAUUAUUGUUGAUAAAGUCGAUUCGUUGCAGUAA